UACCAGCACCCCGAGUGGUCGGGACGAUUAUUGGGCCUAAAGCAUCCGUAGCCGGCCUUACAAGUCCUCCGUUAAAUCCAGCUGCUUAACAGAUGGGCUGCGGAGGAUACUAUAAGACUAGGAGGCAGGAGAGGCAAGCGGUACUCAGUGGGUAGGGGUAAAAUCCGUUGAUCCAUUGAGGACCACCAGUGGCGAAGGCGGCUUGCCCGGAUGCGCUCGGCGGUGAAGGAUGAAAGCUGGGGGAGCAAACCGG
rnacentral:rRNA from 1 species